rnacentral:lncRNA from 1 species
GGUCACUGUGCUUGUUUUCGAGAUAUUAGCCAUUGAAAUUUUGGCGGGAAAAUAUUCUCUCUUGACUUUUCAUAGCUUUAUCAUUGACAAGUUGAAGUUCUCAAAAACUGUUAAAAAGUGAUUAAAAUUUUAUUAGACUUUUAUAGAUGGCUUAUCAUUAUACAUGUAAAAGAUUUACAAAAGGAAAAAUGGGGGUCACCGG